rnacentral:rRNA from 1 species
GACGAACGCUGGCGGCGCGCCUAACACAUGCAAGUCGAACGAUCGAGCGGAGGUUUCCUUUCUCGAGCGAGUGGCGGACGGGUGAGUAACGCGUGAGGAACCCGCCUCAAAGGGGGGGACAACAGAAAGAAACGACUGCUCAUACCGCAUAAGCCCACGACCCGGCGUGGGGUGGAGGGAAAAGGAGCAAUCGGCUUUGGGCUGGCCGCGCGUCCGAUUAGUUAGUGGGUGGGGUCAUGGCGCACCAAGGCGGGGAUCGGUAGCCGGACUGAGAGGCUGAACGGCCACAAUGGGACUGAGGCACGGACCAGACCCCUACGGGAGGGAGCAGUGGGGAAUACUGCGCGAUGAGGGAAACUGCGACGACGCCGCGCCGGGUAUAGGGAGAAGCUGUUCGGAUUGCAAAUUCAUCUUGUAGGGGAAGAUAUGUGAGGUACCCAACAAGGAAGUCACGGCUAACUUCGUG